rnacentral:lncRNA from 1 species
GAGAGUUGUUCCUUUGUCGAGUGAGAUGGGAAUCAGGGAUUGUGAGGAUUUUUUUCUUCUUUUCAGGUACAUGCCCUGCCUAGGCAACUAAUGUGUGUUAAACUUGGACGGAACAUACAUUGGGCAGGAUUUCUAUUUAUUUCAGACUCGAGACCUGUCAGGAGCGGGCAGGAUUUUUUCUCAGUUUCAGACGUUACCAGAACAAGCAGACUUCUAUUUCCUUGUAUAUAGUUGCUUAGCUCACUUCUGCACUUAUUCUUAUUAAAGCAAGCUUUCUUAGUAUAACCAUUUUGUGGCAGUUUUUCCUGUUUUGGCUUAUUUCUAAUUUUAGUCUUGAGAGCAAGAGACUUUCCUACGGCAUCAUGAAUGUUCCAGCCCAUGUAUAUGUAAUCUGCCUGUCUGUUCACAUGUCAUCUUCAUUUACAUGAUGACACAGAUUGAAUAGAAGUUAUUCCACUGGAAAAGUAGAGAAUCAUGCAGCAAGCAAUGAGUCCAGUGCCAUCUCCUGCAGUAGUUGGACCUUCAAGCAAUUUCAGCACGUCAUCUGUUUUAUCUAUUCCAUCUCAUUGGUUAUUGAAAACCUCCAGAACUGCAUGGUCAAAGAAGUAGACAUGAAGAGAAAAAGGAUUAUAUGACUAUCUAUGGACUCCAUGAUAGAUACCUAUGGAGGCAAGCCAACCGACACAGAAACUCUGCAACUGACUGGGACACUAAUGGCAUUGUAUCCGAUAUUGAGGGAUAAUACAAACAAUGGAAUCUGGGAGAAAUAUGUAAUUCAGCACUUAGAUUCGAUAGAUUAAACGGACAUUGUUCUCACGUUACCGGUUUAAUCAAAUCAUUACCUGGGCUAAAAUUUCCACAACUUUGUGUGUCCUGCAGAACAAAGCUACACCAGUAUCCCAUAGCAAUGGAAAGACAUCCUCAGACUGAUGAAGUAACCAGUGCUACCUGGUUAUGUGAACCACUUAGGAUAGAAAACUGAAGCCUUUAGAGUGCCGCAUAUGUUAAUUUCAAAAUUGCCAGAUGAACAACAUUAGAUUUAGACAAUUUGGCAACGGGCUGCUGUUUGAACAGAGUUUGGGUGUUAGUAGUAACGCAGUCUUUGGCCCUGUUCCUUUAGGAUCUUUUCUCAGUUACCAGAGAUCAGUUGUUGGAUUUCAUGGAAGAAGAACGUAUCCUGGUAUAACACCUGUGGCACCAAACAGAGGCCGAAAAAAGGAAAAGGUAGUGAACUUGAAGACAAUACAAAUAUAGGUAACGCAGGCAGUUGCUGAGGCUCACCUUGGAGGAAUGAGUCCUGAACUUACCAGAUAUGUCAGAGAAUAGCAGAUCUCAGAAGCUGCAGAAGAUGUACCCAUUAUUCAUAAAACCAGAAUUUAUUGAUGACACUGGGCGGAAUGUAGCUCAGGAGCAUAAAGGCCUAGUAGACAGGACAUUCUGGACAAUGACUAGGAAAAUAAGAGACAAAAUGGCAUUCCUUUCAUUCAUCAAGGACAAAGUGUUGCUGAAGUGCUCCCCAGCUGGCCGGGCUGAGGUCAUACUGUCAUGGAGUCGUACUGUUUGGUGGAUGAGGCAUAUCUAAGUACAUGUAAUUUGAAUCGAUCCUUGCUGUUGAACAGAAGUUGCAAGAACUUAUCCAUGACAACACUAAACAAAGCAAUGAAGUCAUACCAGUCAUUCAUAGAUGCUGUGCCUGAGGAAAAUAUAUUGUAGAACCAGAAAUUUUUGCUAUCUUCCCAGUAAGUGUCACAGAAAAAAAACAUGUUGUGACAGGACUUUAGUGGUUCAAUAUUGAAAUGAAAAUGACAAAAGAAUAUUUAAAAAAAUGAGGAAAUCAUUUUAUGCUACUACAUGUAGAGAAUAGAAAACUGUUCAGUUUUAUUUCCAAGAGUAAACAUAUAGCUCUGUUCAGUUUUAUUUUUGAGAGUGUACAUAUAACUCUGUUCUGUUUUAUUUUCGAGAGUAUACAUAUAGCUCUGUUCAGUUUUAUUUUUGAGAAUAUACAUAUAGCUCUGUUCAGUUCUAUUUUUGAGAGUAUACAUAUAGCUCUGUUCAGUUUUAUUUCCAAGAGUAAACAUAUAGCUCUGUUCAGUUUUAUUUUUGAGAAUAUACAUAUAGCUCUGUUCAGUUUUAUUUUCGAGAAUAUACAUAUAGCUCUGUUCAGUUUUAUUUCCGAGAGUAUACAUAUAGCUCUGUUCAGUUUUAUUUUGAGUGUGUAAAUAUAGCUCUGUUCAGUUUUAUUUUUGAGUGUGUAAAUUUAGCUCUGUUCAGUUACAUUUCCAAGAGUAAACAUAUAGCUCUGUUCAGUUUUAUUUUUGAGAAUAUACAUAUAGCUCUGUUCAGUUUUAUUUUUGAGAGUAUACAUAUAGCUCUGUUCAGUUUUAUUUCCAAGAGUAAACAUAUAGCUCUGUUCAGUUUUAUUU